rnacentral:rRNA from 1 species
AGCUCCAAUAGCGAAUAUUAAAGUUGUUGCAGUUAAAAAGCUCGUAGUUGGAUUUCUGGGCGCAGGGUGCGCCUCCGCCCCCUCGUGGGGUGUGAGCGCUCGCUCCCUGCGCCCAUCCUGGCGGAGACCAGCGCCUGGCAUUAAGUUGUCGGGCCUGGGACCCGCCUCCUUUACUGUGAAAAAAUUAGAGUGUUCAAAGCGGGUGGCACUGCUUGAAUACAUUAGCAUGGAAUAAUACUAUAGGACUGUGGUGCUAUUUUGUUGGUUUGCACACCACCGUAAUGAUUAAUAGGGACAGUUGGGGGUAUUCAUAUUUCGUGGUCAGAGGUGAAAUUCUUGGAUUCACGAAAGAUGAACAUGUGCGAAAGCAUUUACCAAGGAUGUUUUCA